rnacentral:rRNA from 1 species
AUUCCAGCUCCAAUAGCGUAUAUUAAAGUUGUUGCAGUUAAAAAGCUCGUAGUUGGACUUCUGGUUUGGGGUGGUGGUCCGCCUAACGGUGUGCACUGUUGCCUUGAGCCUUCUUCCUGUAGUCUCAUUGUGCACUUAAUUGUGUGCUUUGGUGAAUAUGGGACCUUUACUUUGAAAAAAUUAGAGUGUUCAAAGCAGGCCUUCGCUUGAAUACAUUAGCAUGGAAUAAUAGAAUAGGACUUUGGUUCUAUUUUGUUGGUUUCUAGGACCGAAGUAAUGAUUAAUAGGGACGGUUGGGGGCAUUAGUAUUUAAUUGUCAGAGGUGAAAUUCUUGGAUUUAUGAAAGACUAACUACUGCGAAAGCAUUUGCCAAGGAUGUUUUCAUUA